AGGACGAACGCUGGCGGCGUGCUUAACACAUGCAAGUCGAGCGGUAAGGCCUUUCGGGGUACACGAGCGGCGAACGGGUGAGUAACACGUGGGUGAUCUGCCCUGCACUUCGGGAUAAGCCUGGGAAACUGGGUCUAAUACCGGAUAUGACCUCCUAUCGCAUGGUGGGUGGUGGAAAGAUUUAUCGGUGCAGGAUGGGCCCGCGGCCUAUCAGCUUGUUGGUGGGGUAAUGGCCUACCAAGGCGACGACGGGUAGCCGACCGUGAGAGGGUG
rnacentral:rRNA from 1 species